UGGGGAAUUUUGGACAAUGGGGGCAACCCUGAUCCAGCCAUGCCGCGUGAGUGAAGAAGGCCUUCGGGUUGUAAAGCUCUUUCGGCCGGGAAGAGAUCGGCGACUCUAACAUAGUCGCUGGAUGACGGUACCGGACUAAGAAGCACCGGCUAACUACGUGCCAGCAGCCGCGGUAAUACGUAGGGUGCUAGCGUUAAUCGGAAUUACUGGGCGUAAAGCGUGCGCAGGCGGUUUUGUAAGACAGAUGUGAAAUCCCCGGGCUUAACCUGGGAACUGCGCUUGUGACUGCAAGGCUAGAGUACGGCAGAGGGGGGUGGAAUUCCACGUGUAGCAGUGAAAUGCGUAGAGAUGUGGAGGAACACCGAUGGCGAAGGCAGCCCCCUGGGCCUGUACUGACGCUCAUGCACGAAAGCGUGGGGAGCAAACA
rnacentral:rRNA from 1 species